rnacentral:lncRNA from 1 species
UCCAUGUACACGAGCAGAUCUAGGAUUAGAAGUAUGUCAUAACUUGAAGACAACUCAAAAUUUAUUUUUAGGCUGCGUGAAUCUUUCAAGGUUCUGGAUUUCAGAAACAAACCCCACUGUAGCUCGUGUAAGCAAAAAAAAAAAGAAUUUUAUUAAAGGUUUGAAGUAGUUCUCAGAAUCUCAAUAAGGGCCAGAGAAUCAACCAUAGAUGCUCUGAGACAAGGAGCCACAUGCUCCUGGGGAUGGCUCCAGGGGACACCCCACUGUCGGUAGGUACAGACAGCCCAGCUCUUGCCCCCACUGGUGGACACCAGAAGCUGCUGCUAGAACCUCUGGCCACCGUCUCUGCAAGUUGCCACCUCUCCCUCUCCCUGCCACAACGGAUUCCUUGAGGUACCUCGCUCACUUCCGCAUGGAGGUCUCAGUCAGUUGGGACUGAUUGGCAGAACCUAGACCCUAUAUCCCCAAAUCUAACAUGUCAAGAAAAUUUCUGAAUUCUCGGGAGCACAAACUCUUUGAAAUUAGUACAUUCUCCAAAUAUAAAAUGGGUCCAAAUGUAAUGGAUGUCCAAAAAGUACGACAGAGGUCCCCUUCAGUGAAGUAGUUUAACCUCAGCCUCCCCCAGGCGCCUGGAGAGACGGAGUCACACCUUUCCAGAGCUUCCAAAGUGAAGUAACAGAUUAGCUACAGAUGGACAAGAAUCAGAUUGAUAUUAGACUUCUCGGUGGCAAUACUGGAUAGAAGAGACAACAGAAUGAUAUCUUCAAUGUUCUGAGGAAAAUUUCUUUCUAUGUAGUUUUCUCUUGAGGCAAACUCUCCCUCAGAUGGGAGCAAAUAAAAGCGUUUUUCGACAUGCAUGGGUAUGAAAGUCAACCUUCCACGAGUCCUCUCUGAAAGAGUUACUAAUUUCAAACAUCCCCUUUAUCAAACACCGUUUCAGUUUAUUUUUAGGUAUUUUCUUUUUUGCUAUUGCAAUUUGGGUCUUUAUUUCCAUUACGUUUUCUUUCUUUUUUUAUUGAAGUAUAAUUUACAUAUAUCCAUUAUGUUUCUCACAGGUUGUUGUUUGUCUAGACAAAGGCAGUUGAUUUUUACACACUGAUUUUGUAUCCAGCCAUCUCAUAAGUUCUCAUAUUGUUUGCAAUAGAUUUGUAACUGAGUUUCUUGGGUUUCCCAGGUAUACAGUUAUCUGUAAAUAGAAAUAAAU